AAAAAAGUAGUUUAGGUAAAACACCAUUUUUUCAAAAUGGAGACAGUAAAAGCUCUUUUCAGAUAUUCAAAAAUAUUUUAUUUUUG
rnacentral:tRNA from 1 species